rnacentral:rRNA from 1 species
AUGCACGCUGGCGGCGUGCCUAAUCCAUGCAAGUCGAGCGAACAGACGAGGAGCUUGCUCCUCUGACGUUAGCGGCGGACGGGUGAGUAACACGUGGAUAACCUACCUAUAAGACUGGGAUAACUUCGGGAAACCGGAGCUAAUACCGGAUAAUAUAUUGAACCGCAUGGUUCAAUAGUGAAAGACGGUUUUGCUGUCACUUAUAGAUGGAUCCGCGCCGCAUUAGCUAGUUGGUAAGGUAACGGCUUACCAAGGCAACGAUGCGUAGCCGACCUGAGAGGGUGAUCGGCCACACUGGAACUGAAACACGGUCCAGACUCCUACGGGAGGCAGCAGUAGGGAAUCUUCCGCAAUGGGCGAAAGCCUGACGGAGCAACGCCGCGUGAGUGAUGAAGGUCUUCGGAUCGUAAAACUCUGUUAUUAGGGAAGAACAAAUGUGUAAGUAACUAUGCACGUCUUGACGGUACCUAAUCAGAAAGCCACGGCUAACUACGUG